CGAACCGCAUCAGGGGCAAUGUAGAAAUCUGCAUUAGGGACAGGGAUUUCGUCAGAGCCUUCAUCAGUAGAUGGCUUUUGGUUCAAACAACCAUAUUUGGCAGGCGUAUGGUGCUCUAUUCCUGGAUUAUCACCGUUACUUCAUCUCCCAGUUCCUUCUUGUGUUGCUUGCUAUUUCUCCUUGUGCUCCAGGUACGGGCCAUGACUUUAGCUUUUCUUUUAACCUAACCUGUUUAUUGCUCUUCUGCCUCUCCUUUUCUUCUUAAUCAACUCUUUUGCUAACCAACUCUAGGACUUCUUGUUUCAAAUUAGCUGAACUACUGCU
rnacentral:lncRNA from 7 species